UGAGGAGCGGCGGACGGGUGAGUAAUGCCUGGGAAAUUGCCCUGAUGUGGGGGAUAACCAUUGGAAACGAUGGCUAAUACCGCAUGAUGCCUACGGGCCAAAGAGGGGGACCUUCGGGCCUCUCGCGUCAGGAUAUGCCCAGGUGGGAUUAGCUAGUUGGUGAGGUAAGGGCUCACCAAGGCGACGAUCCCUAGCUGGUCUGAGAGGAUGAUCAGCCACACUGGAACUGAGACACGGUCCAGACUCCUACGGGAGGCAGCAGUGGGGAAUAUUGCACAAUGGGCGCAAGCCUGAUGCAGCCAUGCCGCGUGUAUGAAGAAGGCCUUCGGGUUGUAAAGUACUUUCAGUCGUGAGGAAGGGGGUAUCGUUAAUAGCGGUAUCCUUUGACGUUAGCGACAGAAGAAGCACCGGCUAACUCCGUGCCAGCAGCCGCGGUAAUACGGAGGGUGCGAGCGUUAAUCGGAAUUACUGGGCGUAAAGCGCAUGCAGGUGGUUCGUUAAGUCAGAUGUGAAAGCCCGGGGCUCAACCUCGGAAUAGCAUUUGAAACUGGCGGACUAGAGUACUGUAGAGGGGGGUAGAAUUUCAGGUGUAGCGGUGAAAUGCGUAGAGAUCUGAAGGAAUACCAGUGGCGAAGGCGGCCCCCUGGACAGAUACUGACACUCAGAUGCGAAAGCGUGGGGAGCAACAGGAUUAGAUACCCUGGUAGUCCACGCCGUAAACGAUGUCUACUUGGAGGUUGUGGCCUUGAGCCGUGGCUUUCGGAGCUAACGCGUUAAGUAGACCGCCUGGGGAGUACGGUCGCAAGAUU
rnacentral:rRNA from 1 species